UACGAGUGCCCCAAGCGUUAUCCGGAAUUAUUGGGCGUAAAGGGUGUGUAGGUGGUCUUGUUAGUCUUCUGUGAAAUUCUUCGGCUUAACCGGGGGUCCGCAGGGGAAACGGCAGGACUAGAGGAUGCGAGAGGUGUGCGGAACUCAUGGUGUAGGGGUGAAAAUCCGUUGAUACAUGGGAACACCGAAAGCGAAGGCAGCACACUGGCGCACUCCUGACACUGAAACAC
rnacentral:rRNA from 1 species